rnacentral:rRNA from 1 species
CACCUCCAGCAUAACUAGUAUUGGAGGCACUGCCUGCCCAGUGACGACCGUUAAACGGCCGCGGUAUCCUGACCGUGCAAAGGUAGCAUAAUCACUUGUUCUCUAAAUAGGGGCUUGUAUGAAUGGCCACACGAGGGUUUUACUGUCUCUUACUUCCAAUCAGUGAAAUUGACCUUCCCGUGAAGAGGCGGGAAUAUAUUAAUAAGACGAGAAGACCCUAUGGAGCUUUAACUACUUAGCCCAAAGAAACAAAUUUUAUUACUAAGGAAACAACAACACUCUUUAUGGGCUAACAGCUUUGGUUGGGGUGACCUCGGAGAACAAGAAAUCCUCCGAGCGAUUUUAAAGACUAGACCUACAAGUCGAAUCACACAAUCGUUUAUUGAUCCAAAAAAUUGAUCAACGGAACAAGUUACCCUAGGGAUAACAGCGCAAUCCUAUUCAAGAGUCCAUAUCGACAGUAGGGUUUACGACCUCGAUGUUGGAUCAGGACAUCCCGAUGGUGCAACCGCUAUCAAAGGUUCGUUUGUUCAACGAUUAAAGUCCU